rnacentral:tRNA from 1 species
GGGCGCGUAGCUCAGCUGGUUAGAGCAGGGGACUCAUAAUCCCUGGGUCGCAGGUUCGAGUCCUGCCGCGCCCA